rnacentral:rRNA from 1 species
UACGUAGGGUGCGAGCGUUAAUCGGAAUUACUGGGCGUAAAGCGUGCGCAGGCGGUUCGUUGUGUCGGUGGUGAAAGCCCCGGGCUUAACCUGGGAAUGGCCAUGGAAACUGGCGAACUGGAGUGUGGCAGAGGGGGGUGGAAUUCCGCGUGUAGCAGUGAAAUGCGUAGAGAUGCGGAGGAACACCAGUGGCGAAAGCGACUUUCUGGUCCUUAACUGACGCUGAGGCGCGAAAGCAUGGGGAGCGAACGGG